CUGCAGUGUUUGACUGCGACUCUACGUCUGCCAUAAUAAGGAGCUUCACAAAUUCUAAAAGCAAUCGCAUUGAAACAGAUACCAUCAUUUUCUCAAGACUUUUUGCGGUAUAUUGACAAAUUUCUGAUUUGAACAAGCUCUUCUCUCGACACAGAUAACAGACUGUUACCUGGAAACAUGUCGAUAUGCUGAUGCAAAAAAGUGUUUGAAUAAAAUACUCAAAAAAGAAAUCAAAGAGAAGGAGAAAUUUGCACGCGUCCUAACCUACAAAGCAUGGUACGAGCAGCAACUAGGAAAGUGUGACAAAGCUGUCAAACUUUACAGGAAGGCUGCCAGUUACACCGAGGACAACCUUCGAAAAGCAAAGAAAAACCUUUUAAAGGUUUCGGUAUGAUGGAAAUGUUAUUUUCAAAAGAUCAUCCAUGGCUUGUAGAAACGUAUGAGCUGCUCUAUGAAUUGCAUAUGAAAGAUGGCGAGCAGAAAGAGGCGGAAAAUUAUGAAGCGAGAAUCACAUCCAUUUUCAUUUUGUACUGCCUAUAAGGUUUAUGCAAAUAUGUAUUGAAUGGUGGAAGUUAUUGACUAAUAUUUAAAAAUAUGGAUAUUAAAUAUGAUAUUAUUACUUGA